CUAACUAAGGUACUUAAAGCGAUACACAAGGACAUACAGAAUUUAUAACGUGUGACGUUGGCGUGUGGACUAGAGAAAUGGGCGUGUCAAUAGCUGUUGAAUGUCAUUCGACUGAUGACUGUCAACGGCACCGAGUUCUUACUGCAAGCUCCAGACACUGAGACUGGAGAUAGUUGGGCUGAGGUGAUCGGUGAUACGAUACGACAGCUGGAGCAAGACAAAACAAUUGCGAAUCCAAUGGUUGCUGAAUGUGACAUUCGUUCAACUUCCAGGCCAUUGCUUGAUGCUCAUAAUAGUGAACUGAUAGCCGCCAUGCAAUACCCUGAUGCCGGUGUUCCACUCGGCAAGCACAAGAAUGGAGUGAAAACAUACAAAGACUGUUUUGCUGGUGUGUUGUGUGUCUUAUCCUCAUCUAAGUUUACUUGCAUAAAAAUUUUGUUUGUUGCAUGUGAAAGUUGUGAGUUAAUUGAGUGGUUGUUGUCGUGGUCGUUUGUCACAAUGAGGGAGGAAGGAUGUCAAUUAGCAAACAGUCUCUUGAAUAAAGCGUAUCUACAGCCGGUGGGAGGGUUGAAUAAAGAGUCGUUCAAGAAGCAUUCGCAUUCGAGAAGUUGGCGUUUGUGGAUGGUGUAGGAGCUUUUUAUAGAUUUUCUGCUCUCACACCAUCCAAGCCAGUAGAACAGUGUUUCAGUACAUUGUCAAGAAAUGCAGAAUUGACCAGUUCAGAGACAGACUCGCGUUCUGAAUGUGGCAUGCAGACACAGUGUGGCACUUCAACAGUCGGAAAAGAAAAUAUUUUUACUUACUUACUUAAUUAAUUAAUUAAUUAUGUGUGUGAGACAUGUGCAGAUGGGUCAGUCAGGUGGAAAAAUUGUGGAAACAACAAGGCAAGGAUUCUCAAUGAAAAAGGGACAUCGGAUACACAACUGGAAAGCGAGAAAGUCUAUUGCCCAAUUAAGGGUGCAUGUGGUUUGCUGUAUUAUCAAGGAUCUAAGGUUUAUGGCAGUUGAUCAGAGCAAAUGAAAGAAAUUGGAGACUAUUUGUUCUCACUCGAAAUGGCAACAGCUCAAUACAAAAUUGUAUCUGCCGGUGAUCCCAGUUAUGCAAGAGUUCUUGCUGAUUGAUUGUUCUAUACUACAGACGUGUUGUGACAUUCGUGAGAGUUUGGUUUUGUGGAAGACUCUGGCAGUAGCCGAUGGAGACAACCAACCUGUGGAGUGGCUAUCAAUCCAGCCAGUAGACCUCGACGUGAUCAUUCCCGACUUCAUCGAAUACAGAAAGAAAUGCAAUUGUGAUGACUUGAUGAAAGGCAAUUUGUGUUGCAAAACUCUGACACAUCAGAGUGGAUCAAUGACGUUCUGUAUUGCCUGUUGUGGAUGGAGACUUGAACUUGACAAGUUGGACAACAGAGUUGUUGCUGUACACUACAAGAGUGCACGUGUCAGUCCACGUAUGCAGCUGUUCCAUGAUGUUGUGUCAUUAAGACUUGUCCAUGCGUUCUCGGCGCUAUACGAGUAGCUAUUAGGUACAGCAUCAUGUAACUUGCACUGGCGGUAUGUGUGGCUAUCAUUACACAGGAGCUUGUUGGUUGAUCUUACUCAAAUAGGGUGUAAAGCCUUAGGGGGGUGUGGUGUGUGUGUGUGUGUGUGUGUGUGUGUGUGUGUGUGUGUGUGUGUGUGUGUGUGCGGUGUGUGUGUGUUGUAAGUAUACUUACUGUCGACACUAGACCAGAAUGGAUCGCGAUCCGAUCGCGAAUUAUAUGAUGAGAGAUCUAGCAAGUGGCUUCCUCUUCCACUCAUGACACACAAACUGUGGUUACAUGCUGCAUUCUCAACUCAGAAUGGAGAACUCAUCACAGCGGGAGGGUUGGAUGAAGAACUCGAAACCAUCAUGUCAAUAGAAAGUCUGAAAUGUCCAUAACAUUUUGUGUUAACAAAUUACCUUAUUUUUAGUUUGUGUGUAUUUGACAUUUUGUUACGUUUAUCCAACUGUAUGUUGAUGGAAGAUACUAUGCAAGUGUAAGAGCAUCUAAUGAUACCAUAUUAUAUUAUUAUAUCACA